rnacentral:rRNA from 1 species
GACGAACGCUGGCGGCGUGCUUAACACAUGCAAGUCGAACGGAAAGGCCCUGCUUUUGUGGGGUGCUCGAGUGGCGAACGGGUGAGUAACACGUGAGUAACCUGCCCUUGACUUUGGGAUAACUUCAGGAAACUGGGGCUAAUACCGGAUAGGAGCUCCUGCUGCAUGGUGGGGGUUGGAAAGUUUCGGCGGUUGGGGAUGGACUCGCGGCUUAUCAGCUUGUUGGUGGGGGAGUGGCUUACCAAGGCUUUGACGGGUAGCCGGCCUGGGAGGGUGACCGGGGACAUUGGGACUGAGAUACGGCCCAGACUCCUACGGGAGGCAGCAGGGGGGAGUAUUGCACAAUGGGCGGAAGCCGGAUGCAGCAACGCCGCGUGCGGGAUGACGGCCUUCGGGUAGUAAAACGCAUUCGCCUGUGACGAAGCGUGAGUGACGGUAAUGGGUAAAGAAGCACCGGCUAACUACGUG